CAUUUCCCAGUCGAAUGAACUAGGGAACAUAAAGUAGGUAUCUGUAGUGGAUAUCUACUUGGUGAAUAUGUUUU
rnacentral:misc_RNA from 1 species